ACUUUGUGGCUUGACUUUGCAGCCACGUCUUCCAAAGGCCUGUUGUCUUCUCACCCCAGCACCCGCAGGACGUCUGCAGGGAAGCUACGUUGCCUCCCUGAGGGCCUGCAGGCCUGCUGUGAUCCAGCACCGUCAUAGCCAGACACCUUUACCUUGUUUGCUCAAGAAUAUUGUGCAACAGUGGACCUUCAUGGUUUCCAAGCAGAAAAAUGCUGUUUGACCACUGAGCAAAUUCUUCUUGACUGCUUUGGAUUAAGAAUUGCUACUCUGGUGAAAUUAAGCCAAAGUGUCAUUCAGGAAGCAAGAUGUUUCGUUUGAACAGAACAUAAAUCAAAGCUGGAAGUAGGGGCUGCCUAGUCUCCCUGUUCUGAAGCCCUCUUGACUCUGUGAAUUCCAUCACCAAAUCCUUGCUUCCAGACCUCAGGAACAUGGCUUCAACAAGUCUGUCUAUGCCAAACCCAUGCUUCCCAUUGCUUUCAUUCUGAAGCUUCUAGGGCUGUUUCAAGAAUGCAAUGCAAAAUUAAAAUUUCAUGGAAUAUUAAGCAAUUCUUUCUAAUAGAAAGCCAGUAAAAUUGUCAAAUUUCAUUGAUCACCAAGCCAUGUAGAUGACUGGCCAGUUUGAAAGGUCCACACUAUGGUUUGAAUCUUCGUUUCCUCACCAAAAUCCAUGUUCAAACUUAAAACCCAUUGUGGUGAUAUUAAGAGGUGUGUUCUUUGGGAGGUGAUUAAGUCAUCUAUGGCAUUAGCACCUUAUAAAAGGGCUCAGGGAUGAAGGGAGCACCCUCUUGCCUUCCUAUCUCUUCCUCCAUGUAAGGACAUUGCUUUCCUCCUCUGGGGAGGAUGCAGCAACAAGGCGCCAUCUUGAAAGCAGAGAGCAGCCCUCAACAGACACCACUUCUACUGGCUUCUUGAUCUUGGACUCUCAGCCUCCAGAACCAUGAGAAAUAAACUUCUGUUCUUUUAUCAAUUAUCCAGUCUCGGGUACUUU
rnacentral:lncRNA from 1 species